UGCUACCGUCUGCAGCGGUCCGCAAGGUCUGCAAUUUGCGCUCUUCGAAUGCGUCAGUGCUGAGAACUACUAUUCACACGAAAGUGGUGGAAACUGUAGUCGAAUUUAGGUUAUGGCUAAAUGUGGCUAACGACAAUUUCGGAAGUUAUACGCACGUUUAUGGCGUCUAGGAAUUAACAACUGUUGUGGAAUUGGAGACAGUGGAAAAAUCUGCAAUUCUUUAAAAUUUUUGCACCUCUGUGUCACAAAAACUGCAAAAUAUAAGGUAUUGAAAUUUGAAAGAAUACUGUUUUCUGUGGAAUGUAUAAGCUCACUAGCUUUCUUGGAAAUCCCAGAAAUGCAUAUACUUCUGGGUAGGAAACCCAAAAGGAAGAGUCCCUCUGGAAGGCAAAGAUGAGAGAUAAUUUUAAUGUGGAUGGAAGGAAGGUGGGUUCAUGUGGUCUGGAUACAUUUGUCUUAGGUAUGUUCCAGCUUCCAGUGCCAGUUUCUUUUUCAUCUCCAGCUGCCAAAGAAUGGUUUGGGCAGCACCAUGAGAAUGUACGACCAUGGAUUCUGUUUAUCAACACAAGAAAUUUCCACACCCCUUCCAGCCUUUCACAUCUCGCAAAGAGGAUAGCGAGAAAUGUGGAGUACUUUCAAACCAACUACUUCUUUGUGUUGCUUGGACUGAUUUUUUAUUGCCUAAUUACAUCACCACUUCUGUUGAUAGCUGUUGCUGCAAGUUUGGGUGUGUGCUACAUCUUGUCUAUGAAGAAUUCAGAAUGGAAAAUCACUGUAUUUGCAUACGAACUAACAUUGGCCCAGCAAUAUGGUCUUGUUGCUGUGUGUUUCCUACCACUUUUCUACAUAGCAGGAGCAGGUGCAGCAAUGUUUUGGGUUCUUGGUACAUCAGUAUUCAUCAUUACACUGCAUGCUUCAUUUUACAACAUUGAUGCAGUUUUAAAUCUAGAAGAUGAGAAAAUGGAUGUGCUGAUAGAAGAUGUGUAACUGGACACAUCUGUUCCAAAUUAAGGCUUGUGUAGGGUUUUAUACCAGACUCACACAGUGUCGGAUUCAUUGUUCCACAUAUGAGGUAGCACCUUGUCGUUGUUUGGCAGUGCCUGCACGAAUUGCAGAUGGUACAGCUUCAUGCCACAGACACAAAUGACAAUUCUCCAUGCCAUUGUCAUUGAAGGUCCUCUAGAAAGAUAGACAGUGAAGUGACUUCGACGGUGAACUGAUGUGGAGCCUUGUACUCGCACACUGCAAAUGCUCUGUCAGUGUGAACAACAUUGGUUUGAUCAAGACUUGGUGUGCAGGCAUUGACCCUAAUGCUUACAAAUGUUUUGAUUAUUCUUUAAAUGAGAAGCUUGGUAAGAGGUAUUUUCUGGACAUGUAGUAAGCGCGCAGUUUUCUGAUAUCCAGGUGUCUGGAAUUCUGAUGCAACCAGCAAGAAAAGAAAGGAAAUUUGCAAUUUUUAUAAAGGUAGUUCUAAAGCAAAUUUGCAGUGUGUAUGUGUUCACCUUCUAUGUAGUGGUUCAUCUAGCUGGUACUAGUAGUGCUGCCUUGUUAUUGUACAUGGUGUAGACUUUUUAGUGUCAUCUUGCUUUGAAGUGAUGUUCUGUCUUUUUAUAGAUCCUACAGAAACAUUGCCCACAAAACUCCCAUUGUUCUACAGUAUAAACACAUGACAGAUGUCACUGAUGCGAACAAUGAAAGGAAAAGUGUCUUUCUGCCUACAGUACCACCUUUGCUCUCUUAAUGACAGAAGUCAAUACUGAUAUUUGUAUAAGUCAGAAGUAAUCAUUGAGCCAUGUUUUCUACUUGGAUGGUUCAGGAGUAGCCCCUUCUGGUCCAGUACCCUCAACUCCAUCCCCUUAUCAAGACACCCAUGCUGUGACUCAUUUACCGUUAUUCCAUCAUUCCAUGUACCACACAAUUUCCCCUUCCUCUCUUGCUUAGAAAAGAAACGCCUCCAUCAGUAUGGUUACUGAUAUGAGGGCAUUCUUUACUUGCCAGCAGUCGGGCGAAUUAGGUCGGUAAAAUUUGGAUUCGACUGGGAUUUCUAAAUUGCAUUUGGACUCUUCACUCCUGCUGUUGAGCGCAAGUGGCUUCCUAGUUGCAACAGUAUGUAUGUUUUUCGUUUGGGAAUGUUGAAACGAGAGUUUUUGUUUAGUAUUACAUUAUGAGUGCCGGUCAUGAUAACCAAGCAGUCUGAGGCAUGUACUGUCUUCAUUCACUUGGAUGCCGGGAUUGUGGGUUCGAAUCCCACACAAGGCAUGAAUGUUUGGUAUGUGUAUGUGUUUAUUCUGUGUUUGUGUUGUCCUGUGUUUAGGCAGAGGCUUCGCAAUGAGUUGAUCACUCAUCCAGGGAGUCAUACCAUCUGUAAAAUGAACAUGAAACUGAAAAAUCAGAGGCCAGGGUCCAAGGGGGCUGUAGAGCCAGUGAAACAAAGUAUGUUACAAGUAUUGUUUGUUUGGGCUUGCUACUGCCCUAAUUAGAGUUGCUGUUUGACCAUAAAAUGGGGAAACAUUGUGAAGUGGGUUGACUUGCAAUGUACCUGAGUUUGGUCUUUUUCUAGGUCUGGGUUAGGUAGGUAGCUCCAUGUGGUUACCUUGUGUAUUUUUUUUUUUUUUCACUCUGAGCCAAUGAAGGUGGUUGAGGGCAUAGUUUUGUUGCAAAUGCAUAUUUGAAUUAAUGUUUGAGUCUUAUUUAUUUUUUAUUGUUAUUGUAUGUCAAAUUUAUGUUUAACUGUUAUUAAAUACUUGUUAUUUUGGAGCUUCAGUCUUUUCUUGGUGAAAGAUAAGCAUGAACACCCAAUUCCAUCUGGGGAGCACUGUGAAUACAACAGUUGAAUCAGGGAUAAAUGCAGCUUCCUUCCCCAAGUAGCUGUAAUAGGUAGGUAGUAGAAGGGAGGAGCUGUUAAUCAUUUUGUAUGAAGUGAAAUUAUGUAACUGAUUACUGCUAGUGAUAUGUGUCACAUUUUGAGUGAAAGAUGGCUGAAAGUGAACUGAAAGCCACGCCUGGACAUCUCACUUUGAGUUAACGGCAAUAGAGUAAAACCUCAUUAACAGAAGGAAGCGGUACUCUGAAAGAGUGAAAAGUUCAAAUUAUGGAAUGUAAUUAUAUGUAAUAUAUGUAAAUAUUUGCAAGUCAUAGUUCAUAAAAACAAACAAAUUACAGUCCAGCAACAUAUUAUGACACGGCAGUUAGAACCCAUAAACUUAGGAAUGUCAGAAUUGCAGAGAUAUCAGGAAAAUGACCAUUUACUGAAUGGGAAAACAGACACUAAGAAAUAAGCAGAAACAAAGGAAGAUGGAAAUUAUUGUGGUAAACACAAACGGAUGUGGCAAAACCAGUAUGAGGAUGAGGUAAUGAAUGUGCGGAUGCUGAUAUAGGCAUUCAGCAUAUGUAGGGAGCUAGUGAAGAAGAAAGAGAUGAUUGGGCAAUGGUGUGAGUGGUGAAGGAAAGUGGUAGAUGGCAUAAAUGAAGGAAAGAAACAUUCCUUUUUGCAUUCCCCAUCAGGACAAUGACCAAACUACCUGAAUGAGUGGGCGUGUGAUUUAGUAUUGUCACGUGUAGGAUGGUACUCAUGACAAAAUGAUGGGUUGUAGCUCAGAUUACUGGAUUUAUUAGCACUUCAGUUACCCAAUCUCU